rnacentral:rRNA from 1 species
UACGGAGGAUGCAAGCGUUAUCCGGAUUCAUUGGGUUUAAAGGGUGCAUAGGCGGAAUAAUAAGUCAGUGGUGAAAGCCUGCGGCUUAACCGUAGAAAUGCCAUUGAUACUGUUAUUCUUGAGUAUAGUUGAGGUGGGCGGAAUGUGUAAUGUAGCGGUGAAAUGCUUAGAUAUUACACAGAACACCAAUUGCGAAGGCAGCUCACUAAGCUGUUACUGACGCUGAGGCACGAAAGCGUGGGGAGCAAACAGG